UACUGAACUUUCAUUAUCGACCAAGAUAUAAUGUACAUCAUAAUUUGUAAUAUUUAAAGACACUACAACCACAACAUCAUGUGGGGAUAACACUCCUCAGAGAUUGGCAUCAGAGAAGGUGACCAUGUUGCUUGUCCUCUAUCUCUUUGAAACAUUCUUCUUUUCAGCUCGAUCACGAUUCCUAGAUGGCCUGCCAAGGUACCCCCCAA
rnacentral:lncRNA from 1 species